rnacentral:rRNA from 1 species
UACGUAGGGUGCGAGCGUUAAUCGGAAUUACUGGGCGUAAAGCGUGCGCAGGCGGUUCGGAAAGUCUGAUGUGAAAGCCCCGGGCUCAACCUGGGAACUGCAUUGGAAACUAACGGGCUCGAGUGUGGCAGAGGGGGGUGGAAUUCCACGUGUAGCAGUGAAAUGCGUAGAGAUGUGGAGGAACACCGAUGGCGAAGGCAGCCCCCUGGGCUAAAACUGACGCUCAGGCACGAAAGCGUGGGGAGCAAACAGG